CAGUUAGGAUUGAUAAGUUAGGAUGAAUGAGUUAGGAUGAAUGAGUUACUGAUGAAUGAGUUAGGAUGAAUAUGUUAGGAUGAAUAAGUUAGGAUGAAUGAGUUACUGAUGAAUGAGUUAGGAUGAAUAUGUUAGGAUGAAUACGUUAGGAUGAAUAUGUUGGGAUGAAUAUGUUAGGAUGAAUGAGUUACUGAUGAAUGAGUUAGGAUGAAUAUGUUAGGAUGAAUAAGUUAGGAUGAAUGAGUUACUGAUGAAUGAGUUAGGAUGAAUAUGUUAGGAUGAAUACGUUAGGAUGAAUAUGUUGGGAUGAAUAUGUUAGGAUGAAUGAGUUACUGAUGAAUGAGUUAGGAUGAAUAUGUUAGGAUGAAUAAGUUAGGAUGAAUGAGUUAGGAUGAAUGAGUUACUGAUAAAUGAGUUAGGAUGAAUAUGUUAGGAUGAAUAAGUUAGGAUGAAUGAGUUACUAAUAAAUGAGUAAGGAUGUAUUAGUUAGGAUGAAUAAUUUAGGAUGAAUGUGUUACGAUGAAUGAGUUAGGAUGAAUAUGUUAAGAUGAAUAAGUUAGGAUGAAUGAGUUACUAAUGAAUGAGUUAGGAUGUAUGAGUUAGGAUGAAUGAUUUAGGAUGAAUGUGUUACGAUGAAUGAGUUAGGAUGAAUGAGUUACUGAUAAAUGAGUGAGGAUGAAUAUGUUAGGAUGAGUUAGGAUGAAUGAGUUACUGAUGAAUGAGUUAGGAUGAAUAAGUUACUGAUAAAUGAGUUAGGAUGAAUCAGUUAGAAUGAAUGAGUUACUGACGAAUGAGUUAGGAUGAAUAUGUUAGGAUGAAUAAGUUAGGAUGAAUAUGUUAGGAUGAAUGAGUUACUGAUGAAUGAGUUAGGAUGAAUAUGUUAGGAUGAAUAAGUUAGGAUGAAUGAGUUACUAAUGAGUGAGUUAGGAUGUAUGAGUUAGGAUGAAUGAGUUACUGAUGAAUGAGUUAGGAUGAAUAUGUUAGGAUGAAUGAGUUAGGAUGAAUGACUUACUGAUGAAUGUGUUAGGAUGAAUGAGUCAGGAUGAAUGACUUAGUGAUGAAUGUGUUAGGAUGAAUGAGUUAGGAUGAAUGACUUACUGAUGAAUGUGUUAGGAUGACUGAGUAAGUAUGAAUGAGUUAGGAUGAAUGAAUUAGGAUGAACGUGUUACUGCUGAGUGUUGAUUGUUGUAGAGAUCACUCGUUUUAACUUUUUUCCUCUUUUUCUCUUUAAAAUCUUUUUUUGAUAGUUUUUAGUUUCACACUUUUACCCCCUCUUUCUCCUCCUGCUCCUCUUUUUACUCCUCCUCCUCCUCCGCCUUCUCCUCCUCCUUUUACUCCUCCUUUUACUCCUCUUCCUCCUGCUCCUUCUCUCUCCUUCUCCUCCUUCUUUUACUCCUCCUCCUCCUUCUUCUCCUCCUACUCCUCUUGCUCCUCCUUAUACUCCUUCUCCUCCUCCUUCUCUCUCCUUCUCCUCCUCCUUUUACUCCUCCUCCUCCUCCUCCUUCUCUCUCCUGCUCCUCCUCCACCUCCUCCUCCUUCUCUCUCCUCCUGCUCCUCCUCUUACUCCUCCUCCUCUUUCCUUCUCCUCCUUCUCCUCCUUCUCCUCCUUCUCCUCCUCCUCUUUCCUCCUCCUCCUCCACCUCCUUCUCCUCCUCCUCCUCUCUCUCUGACAGUUAAACUCUGCAGGUUCAUUCAUCACGUUGAGUUUGAUGAUGUGAGGAGGUUCUUUUCUUUCUCCUGCUCCUUCUCCUCCUUCUCCUCCUUCUCCUCUUGCUCCUCCUCCUCCUCCCUCUCUGACAGUUAAACUCUGCAGGUUCUUUCAUCACGUUGAGUUCGAUGAUGUGAGGAGGAGGUUCUUUCUUUUCUCCCUGACGUUAAAAACUCCUCACAGUUCAGAUUUCCUGGAGGAGGGAUGAAAAAGAGGAAAGUGAGAAAAUUAGGGAAAGGAAGGAAGGAAGUAAGGAAGUAAGGAAGGAAGGCGGCGACAUUUGGCUGCUUAAUUGAGCCUGUCUAACAGGUUGUUAGCUUGUUAUUUCAGAUAAAUAACCCAAUAAAUGUUCCCAGAUUACAUUAUUACAGCUGUAAACGGCACCAGGGGAAUCCCAUCGUCUG